UGUGGGAGCUGGCUUGCCUGCGAUGGCGGUGUUUCAGUCAGCAUCUUCGGCGACUGAUGCGCCGCCAUCGCAGGCAAGCCAGCUCCCACA
rnacentral:misc_RNA from 2 species